AAAUUGAAGAGUUUGAUCAUGGCUCAGAUUGAACGCUGGCGGCAGGCCUAACACAUGCAAGUCGAACGGUAACAGGAAGCAGCUUGCUGCUUUGCUGACGAGUGGCGGACGGGUGAGUAAUGUCUGGGAAACUGCCCGAUGGAGGGGGAUAACUACUGGAAACGGUAGCUAA
rnacentral:rRNA from 1 species